rnacentral:siRNA from 1 species
CUUCUCCCAGUGGUGUGCCUUG